UACGAACCGGACAAACGUUAUUCGGAAUUAUUGGGCUUAAAGGGUGCGUAGGCGGUGCGGUAAGUGCGGUGUGAAAUCCCACGGCUCAAUCGUGGAAUUGCGCUGCAUACUGCCGUGCUAGAGGGAGACAGGGGUAAGCGGAACUGAUGGUGGAGCGGUGAAAUGCGUUGAUAUCAUCAGGAACACCAGUGGCGAAAGCGGCUUACUGGGUCUCUUCUGACGCUGAGGUACGAAAGCGUGGGUAGCGAACAGG
rnacentral:misc_RNA from 1 species